rnacentral:rRNA from 1 species
CAUUGGGACUGAGACACGGCCCAAACUCCUACGGGAGGCAGCAGUAGGGAAUUUUCGGCAAUGGGGGAAACCCUGACCGAGCAACGCCGCGUGAGCGAAGAAGGCCUUCGGGUCGUAAAGCUCUGUUGUAAAGGAAGAACGGCGCAUACAGGAAAUGGUAUGCGAGUGACGGUACUUUACCAGAAAGCCACGGCUAACUACGUGCCAGCAGCCG